AUCAGCAUAGCCAGGACCAUCAGAGCCAGGAAACCAGAAGGAAACAGUUGAGACUACUGUGUUUGUCCUCAACAUUUUGUGACUGCACUCUCAUGUUUUGUCACUAAAUUUUAUUUUUGCAUAAACCUUCCCUUUGGGGCACCUGGACUUCACAGCAAUGGGAUCUUUUCAAGUCCAUCAUCCAAAGAUGUCAUGCUUGCUUCAAACUGCUUGUAGAUGAAACAACAGCUGGAUGAAAAGUACAAUGAAAAGGGACCUGGCCAGUGCUGUCCUGAGUGCACUGAGAGUUCUGCAGCCACGGUAUUGCUGCAGCCUCCAGGACGUCAGACAGGGACAGAGCCCUCAUCACACUGUCCUCGUCACCCGACCGAAACAGCUUGGCCAUUUCUCUGACACUCCAUGAAGAUCUGCCCCGAGGAUGGUUUCAGUGUGUACCAAGAAUGAGCAGUGGGGACCUGUGGAUAUCUUCUCCUUACCAGAGUGGAAAAGAAGCCAGAUGAUCCAGCAGAGCAGAGCAGUCUCAUCCCCAGCAGGCACCACUGCCUCAAGAUCGUCUGCCUUGGUGGAGUGUAAGAGACCAUCAUUCAAGAGUGAGACAGUGGCUAAGAAAAAUUUUUAAAGCUUGUAAAACCAAAGCACUUUUCAAGCUAAUAUUUGAAAUGACUCUACAGAUAGGGAAGAAGAUUCAACAAGAACAUACUAGCAUUUUUUUGAUACAUAUUUGCCAAAUGAAUGAUUUAUCUUCAUGCUUCUUUUAAAAUGACAGUGAUUACCACAUCCCAUUUUCACAUUUAAAAAAAAAUGAAGCGUAGAAACUUCCCUUUGGAGCACUGAAAUGAUCCAUUAAUACUUACAAGACUGUUUUCCUCAUUUUCUGGAAAAUUGUUUAUAAUACUUAGCAGUUUUUCACAAAAGAAAAGAAGUUUCUUGGCCAUUCACUGAGAAAUUAUCACACCAAGGAGACUCUUUUUGCAGGCAAACCUCCCCCUCAGCCACUGAAGCAGCUAAAACCUGCACUCCUUUUCAGCAGCCCAGCUCUCUGGUUCCUCCCAGCUGAGGAAAGCUGUGUGCACUGGACUAAGCAGUUCCAUGUAUUUUUCAGUGUGAGCAUUUAUUUUCUGGUCUGUGCAGUUCUAACCUGUCUGCUCUCACGAACAUUAUGGGACUCUGACAAUUUCUAAUGAUGACAAAGUAAUUCAGCACUGUCUGUGUUUAUUCCUCCAGGAAUACGCUGCUUUAGCAGAAGCACAUUUGCAAUGUGCAUGACCCCUGCUCUCCUUCAUAAAUCUUUCUGACAAAACAAAGAGAUGUGGUAGCAUUUGGAAUGGGAGCUGUAUUAACUGCUGCAUCUUCCUGCUCUAGGAACUGGUAAAAAAUUCUCAGAUAUAUUUAAUUCAGUAUAAAAGACAUUACUUCUAUUUUUAAAAAAUAGAAGUAUUAUUUAAUACAGUCUAAAAUGCAUUAUUUCAUAAAGCUACCAAACAAAUCAGAAAAGCCCAAGAGAGCCAGUUCAUUCAGGAGGAGAAAGCUAAAGGCAGAGCUGAUUUCAGAUGGAAUUGUGGGUUUGAGGAGGUCUCAGAAGGAACACAAUCACUGGUACAAAACUGAUACUUCCAGAAACAUUGACUCAGGUCCAUGGGGCCACUGUGUCUGCAGCAGGAGGGGAAGAAAAGUUUCCUUACCAUUAUGUCUUUCUUUCAGAACUUCUGGGGUGGGGUAUUUCAUUACUGAAUGAAAUGAAAUGUAGAAGAGCCCCAGGACAGUUCUGCCUCUCCGUGGUCCUUUUAGACUUUAUGAGCAGCCAAGAACAACUGAGGGACUGAAUAACAAUGAGUAGUAACAGCAAAAUAAAGUUGGAUAAUGUAGGUAAAAACCUUAUACUAGUGAGUGGUACGUGCCAGGAAAUGAUGAUUUUUAAUAAUGGCCACCUGCCAUGAAGAUCCACUCUGGGUCAACUUUUACACACCCACCUCUGCCACAGCAGGACAGGGAUACAGCUGCUGCCAAGAAUGCUGAAGGCAGUUUCUGUGAUCUUCACAGAACUUCUGCACCAUUCCCUGGAGGUUUCUGACAUAAUUCUAAAAAAAUUUCUUACUCUUCCUAUUAAAAAACUGAAAGGCUGAAAAGAAUUUUUUUUCUUAUUUCUGCAUUUCUGAAUUUUGUGAGCAUGUCUUUCUACUGUUCCUGAUGGAGCAUGGGC